CCUACGGGAGGCAGCAGCCAGGAAUCUUGGGCAAUGGGCGAAAGCCUGACCCAGCAACACCGUGUGGGUGAUGAAGGCCUUCGGGUCGUAAAGCCCUGUUGAUAGGGACGAAGGGCGAAGGGUUAAUAGCCCGGAGCUUGACGGUACCUUUCGAGGAAGCCCCGGCUAACUACGUGCCAGCAGCCGCGGUAAUACGUAGGGGGCGAGCGUUGUCCGGAAUUAUUGGGCGUAAAGAGCGUGUAGGCGGUUCGGUAAGUCUGUCGUGAAAUCCUGGGGCUCAACCCCGGGCGUGCGAUGGAUACUGCCGGGCUAGAGGGUGGUAGAGGCGAGUGGAAUCCCCGGUGUAGCGGUGAAAUGCGCAGAUAUCGGGAGGAACACCAGUAGCGAAGGCGGCUCGCUGGGCCACACCUGACGCUGAGACGCGAAAGCUAGGGGAGCGAACAGGAUUAGAUACCCUGGUAGUCCUAGCCGUAAACGAUGGACACUAGGUGUGGGCGGAGUCGAAUCUGUCUGUGCCGAAGCCAACGCGUUAAGUGUCCCGCCUGGGGAGUACGGCCGCAAGGCUAAAACUCAAAAGAAUUGACGGGGGCCCGCACAAGCAGCGGAGCAUGUUCUUUAAUUCGAUGCAACGCGAAGAACCUUACCUGGACUUGACAUGGUGCUGCGAGCGCACGGAAACGUGUGACCUUCGAGGGUGCACCACAGAUGCUGCAUGGCUGUCGUCAGCUCGUGUCGUGAGAUGUUGGGUUAAGUCCCGCAACGAGCGCAACCCCCGUGGUGUGUUGCCAUCAUUAAGUUGGGGACUCACACCAGACUGCCGGUGACAAACCGGAGGAACGUGGGGGACGACGUCAAGUCAUCAUGGCUCUUACGUCCAGGGCUAGAAACGUGCUACAAUGGCGCCUACAAAGGGUUGCAGACCGCAAGGUGGAGCGAAUCUCAUCAAAGGGCGUCUAAGUUCCGGAUCGCAGUCUGCACUCGACUGCGUGAAGGCGGAGUUGCUAGUAAUCGCGGAUCAGCAUGCCGCGUGAAUACGUUUCCCGG
rnacentral:rRNA from 1 species